UACGUAGGGGGCAAGCGUUGUCCGGAUUUAUUGGGGGUAAAGAGGGUGUAGGCGGCCUUGCAGGUCAGUGGGGAAAACUCGAGGCUCAACCUCGAGACGUCGGUUGAAACCGUAUGGCUAGAGUCCGGAAGAGGAGAGUGGAAUUCCCGGUGUAGCGGUGAAAUGCGCAGAUAUCGGGAAGAACACCUAUGGCGAAGGCAGCUCUCUGGGACGGUACUGACGCUGAGACGCGAAAGCGUGGGGAGCAAACAGG
rnacentral:rRNA from 1 species